rnacentral:rRNA from 1 species
GGACUACUGGGGUUUCUAAUCCUGUUUGCUACCCACGCUUUCGUCCCUGAGCGUCAGUUUCGAGCCAGAUAACCGCCUUCGCUACCGGUGUUCUUCAUGAUCUCUACACAUUUCACCGCUACACCAUGAAUUCCAUUAUCCUCUCUCGAACUCAAGACUGACAGUAUCGAAGGCAAUUUCACGGUUGAGCCGUGAACUUUCACCACCGACUUGUCAGCCCGCCUGCGGACCCUUUACACCCAGUAAUUCCGGACAACGCUUGCACCCUACGUAUUACCGCGGCUGCUGGCAC